GAUGAACGCUGGCGGUGUGCCUAAUACAUGCAAGUCGAGCGAACAGACGAGGAGCUUGCUCCUCUGACGUUAGCGGCGGACGGGUGAGUAACACGUGGAUAACCUACCUAUAAGACUGGGAUAACUUCGGGAAACCGGAGCUAAUACCGGAUAAUAUAUUGAACCGCAUGGUUCAAUAGUGAAAGACGGUUUUGCUGUCACUAUAGAUGGAUCCGCGCCGCAUUAGCUAGUUGGUAAGGUAACGGCUUACCAAGGCAACGAUGCGUAGCCGACCUGAGAGGGUGAUCGGCAACACUGGAACUGAGACACGGUCCAGACUCCUACGGGAGGCAGCAGUAGGGAAUCUUCCGCAAUGGGCGAAAGCCUGACGGAGCAACGCCGCGUGAGUGAUGAAGGUCUUCGGAUCGUAAAACUCUGUUAUUAGGGAAGAACAAAUGUGUAAGUAACUAUGCACGUCUUGACGGUACCUAAUCAGAAAGCCACGGCUAACUACGUGCCAGCCGCCGCGGUAA
rnacentral:rRNA from 1 species